rnacentral:rRNA from 1 species
AGGCCCUAGUUGAUUUUACCUAACGGCGUAAAGGGUGGUUAAGGAUUAUAUGUUAAUAAAGCCAAAUGGCCCUUUGGCCGUCAUACGCUUCUAGGUGUCCGAAGCCCUACACGAAAGUAGCUUUAACAAAUUUACCUGACCCCACGAAAGCUGAGAAACAAACUGGGAUUAGAUACCCCACUAU